rnacentral:tRNA from 1 species
GCCUGGUUGGCUUAGUUCAUGGAGCAUGUUACUCUUGAUCUCAAGGUUGUGGGUUAGAGUCCCACAUUGGGUG